CAACAAAAUAUUUAAGUAAGAAUCACUUUCCCUGUGAAGGCCUGGUGUGCAAUGGCUGCAAACAGCAGCCCCCUCAGUACUGUAUGCAGCCUGUUGCCUAUACAGGUUGCCCUAAGGGACCCUGGAGACAGCC